UACAGAGGGCCCAAGCGUUGUUCGGAUUCACUGGGCGUAAAGCGCGUUCAGGCGGUUUGGCAAGUCGGGCAUGAAAUCUCUCGGCUCAACCGGGAGAGGUUGUCCGAUACUGCUGGACUUGAGGGCAGUAGAGGGUGGUGGAAUUCCGGGUGUAGUGGUGAAAUGCGUAGAUAUCCGGAGGAACACCAGUGGCGAAAGCGGCUUCCUGGUCCAGCACCGACGUUCAGGCACGAAAGCGUGGGGAGCAAACAGG
rnacentral:rRNA from 1 species